rnacentral:tRNA from 3 species
GGGUGAUUAGCUCAGCUGGGAGAGCACCUCCCUUACAAGGAGGGGGUCGGCGGUU